UGGCAGUGUACUGUUAGUUAGCUGUUAUCCAUAUUCCAGCAACUAAAUACACUUCCACA
rnacentral:pre_miRNA from 1 species